AUAAGAAAAUAUCAUUAGAAUAUGAAGUAAAUUAAUUUGUGCACAGAAAAUUUCGUCAAACUCACUGAUUUUAAAAUUAUAUCAAUAUUUGUGAUUCUUACCGAAUAAUUUCCAUACAGUAACCACAUCCAGAUUGAAGUAUUGUAGAAGACCGUACCAAUGAAAAAGAUGGACGCACAAUACUGGCAGCGAACGUCCUGGAAAUUAAAUGUAACAUGAUAUUCGACGAGAAUGGAAUCCAAAGUUAUAAUAAAAAUCCUAACUGACAGGAAAAAAAUAUAAAAUUGGAA